UGAGCCCAGGUAAGGUGGGAUUACAUGUUGAGUUUAGGCAUAUCAUGAAGUAGAAGAAAACAAACUUACAAGGAUUCCCUUAGUAACGGCGAGCGAAUCGGGAAUAACCUAACCUUAGAAUCGGGUGGCUCCAUCAUCCGAAUUGUAGUAUGGAGAAGCAUCCUCAGUGGUGGACUGGGCCUAAGUCCCCUGGAAGGGCGUGCUAGAGAGGGUGAGAUCCCCAUUGUGCCCAUGCCCUAUCUCACCAUGAGGCACUAUCUACGAGUUGGGUUAUUUGGAAAUACAGCCCAAAUCGGGCGGUGAAUUUCAUCCAAGAUUAAAUACUGGCGAGAAACCAAUAACAAACAAGUACCGUGAGGGAAAAAUGAAAAGGACUUUGAAAAAAGAGUUAAAAAAUGUUUGAAAUUAUCGGGAGGAAAGCGGAUGGGGGCCAGCGAUAUGCCCUGGUCAGAUGUAGAACGAUGACGAGCCAGUUUAUCGAUCGACUCGGAACGUGAACCAGCAUUGAUUGGGGGAGGCCAAAUCCUGGGCUCUCGAUACGCUCAUGGAAUACCGCCUCCUCGAUUAUGGUAGGCAGCGUGCGCCUUUGGCGUGCUUCGGUAUUUGUACGCUCCGGUCGCUGGCCUAUGGGCUCCCUAUUCGACCCUUCUUGAAACACGAACCAAGGAGUCUGAUAUGUGUGUGAGUCAAUGGGUGAGUAAACCCAUAAGACAUAAGGAAGCUGAUUGGUGGGGUCCCUCUGAGGGGUGCACCGUCGCCAGACCUUGAUUUUCUGAGAAGGGUUCGAGUGUGAGCAAACCUGUCGGGACCCAAAAAAUAGUAAACUAUUCCUGAGCGGGACGAAGCUAGAGGAAAAUUUGAUAGUGACUUGUCAUGAUACUAACGUGCAAAUCAUUUGUCUGACUUGGGUGUAGGGGCAAAAUACCAAUCGAAUCAUCUAGUAGCUGGCUCCAUCCGAAGUUUCCCUCAGGAUAGCUGGAGCUCGCAUGUUAAUUCUACCGGGUAAAGCCUAUGAUUAGAGGCCACAAGGGUUCAAUGCCCUCAACCUAUUCUCAAAUUUUAAAUAGGUAGGACGACACGACUGCUUUUUUGAAUUGCGCAAUGGAAUCAAGAGCUCCAAAUGGGCUAUUUUUGGUAAGAAAAACUAACGAUGAGGGAUGAACUGAAAGCCAGGUUAUGGUGCUAAAUUGCGCGCUAACCCAGAUCCCAUAAAGGGUGUUGGUCGAUUAAGACAGCAGGACGGUGGUCAUGGAAGUCAAAAUUCUCUAAUAAGUGUGUAACAACUCACCUACCAAAUCAACUAGCCCCAAAAAUGAAUGGCACUUAAGCGCGCGACCUACACCCGACCGUCGGGGCAAGUAUCAGGCCCUGAUUAGUAGGAGGGCGCGACGGUCACUAUAACACCUUGGGCGUAACCCUGGGUGGAGUGGCCAUCGGUGCAGAUCUUGGUAGUAGUAGCAAAUGUUCAAAUGAAAACUUUGAAGACUGAAGAGGGGAAAGAUUUCAUGUGAACGACACUUGCACAUGGGUUAGUCGAUCCUAAGGGGUUGGGGAAAGCUCAACAGAUAUCGUGUUUCGCGCUUACUCUGAAAAAGAAUUAGGUUGAAAUUUCUAAACUAAGAUAUGGCGAUCGACGACAACGUUAGGAAGUUUGGAGAUAUCGGUGGGAGCCUCAAGAAGAGUUAUCUUUUAUACAUAAGAGCACCCUGGAAUUUGCUCAGUCGGAUGCUGAGCAAAUUCCAGAGACUGGAAGAGCACCACAUGUUACGUGGUGUGCAGUGCAGUCGUACACCAUCCCUUACCUACAUCAUCCACGACUGGUUGUACUCAUAAUCGUAUCAGGUCUCCAAGAUGAACAUCCUCUGUUCGAUCAAAUAAUAUAGGCAAGGGAAGUCGGGAAAAUAGAUCUGUAAAUUUAGGAAAAGGAUUGGCUCUGAAGGCUGGGAAUGAGGGUCCCAGUCCCAAACCUGUUGGCUAUCGAUGGAAUACUCGAGCUGCUCCCACUACGAGAGUGGAUCGCCGCAUGUCGUCUAGGGGACGGAUUGAGAACGGUUCCUUCGGGGGCCUUCCUCACGCGUUGAACAACCAAGUCAGAACUGGUACGGACAAGGGGAACCUAACUGUUUAAUUAAAACAAAGCAUUUCGAUGGUCCCAAUGGAUGUUCACACAAUGUGAAUUCUGUCUAGUGCUCUGAAUGUCAAAGUGAAGAAAUUCACCAAGGGCGGGUAAACAUAAGGAGUAACCAUGACUCUCUUAAGGUUGCCAAAUGACUUGUGAUCUACUUAGUGACGCACAUGAAUGGAUUAACGAGAUUCUCACUGUCCCUGUCUACUAUCCAACAAAACCAGAACCAAGGGAACGGGCUUGGCAGAAUCAGCGGGGAAAGGAGACCCUGAUAAACUUGACUCUAGUCUGACUUUGUGAAAUGACUUGAAAGGUGUAGUAUAAGUGGGAGCCGAAAGGCAAAAGUGAAAUACCACUACUUUUAACAUUAUUUUACUUAUUCUGUGAAUCGGAAGUGGGGCACUGCCCAUCUUUUUGGACUCAAGGCUCGCUCUACGGGAUGAUUAGGGUGGAAGACAUUGUCAGGCAGAGAGUUUGGCUGGGGCGGCACAUCUAUUAAAAGAUAAAGUAGGUGUCCAAAGAUGAGCUCAAUGAGAACAAAAAUCUCGUCUGGAACAGAAGGCUAAAAGCUCGUUUGAUUCUAAUUUCCAGUACAAAUUUGAACCAUAAAAGCGUCGCCUAACGAUCCUUUAGACCUUUGAAAUUCGACGUUAGAGGUGUCAAAAAAGUUACCACAGGGAUAACUAGCUUGUGGAAGCCCAACAUUCAUAGUGACGUUGCUUUUUGAUCCUUUUAGGUCGGCUCUUUCUAUCAUCGUGAAGUAGACUUCACCAAGUACUGGAUCAUUCACUGACUAAUAGAUAACCUGAUCUAGGUUUAGACCAUCGUAAGACAAGUUAGUUUUACCCUACUGAUGACAGUGUCGCAAAAGUAAUUCAACCUAGUACGAGAAGAACCAUUGAUUCACACAAUUAUUCAUCGCGUUUGGUUGAAAAGCUAGUGGCGCGAAACUACUAUGUGCUGGAUUAUGAAGGAAUGCCUCUAAGUCAGAAUCCGGUCUAGAAGUGAUACAUGCGCCCACCGUCCGCUUGCCGACCCGCAGUAAGGGCCUUGUCCCCCAAAGGCAUAUUUUAUUGGCUAAGCCAUCAUGGUAAAAGGGUCACGGUGGUCGCAUUGAAGUAUAUAUUUUCAUCGAGUGGUGGGUAGAAUCCUUUGCAGAUUACUUAAAUGCGCGAUGGGGUAUUGUAAGUGGUAGAGUGGCCUUACUGCCAUGAUCCACUGAGAUUCAGCCUUUAGUCACUCCAGUUUAU
rfam:Capsicum annuum cultivar Zunla-1 chromosome 6, whole genome shotgun sequence